CAUUUUGUCGGUAGAGGCAGGAGGAGGAGGUCGGGUUGUAGAAGCUGGAGUGGCCGGCAGCGC
ensembl:miRNA